ensembl:snRNA U6 U6 spliceosomal RNA
UUGCUCCCUUUGGCAGCAUAUAUAAUAAAACUGGAAUGAUACAGACAAGAUUAACAUGGCCCCUGUGCA